rnacentral:rRNA from 1 species
CAGCCGCCACGGGAAUACGAAGGGGGCUAGCGUUGCUCGGAUUAACUGGGCGUAAAGGGCGCGUAGGCGGAUCUUUAAGUCAGGGGUGAAAUCCCGAGGCUCAACCUCGGAACUGCCUUUGAUACUGGAGAUCUUGAGUCCGGGAGAGGUGAGUGGAACUGCGAGUGUAGAGGUGAAAUCCGUAGAUAUUCGCAAGAACACCAGUGGCGAAGGCGGCUCACUGGCCCGGUACUGACGCUGAGGCGCGAAAGCGUGGGGAGCAAACAGGAUUAGAUACCCCCGUAGUCCCUGUCUCUUAUAC